UGUAUGUGGUUUAUCUACACCGUCCAUCCACUUUUACUGCUAAUUUUAGGGGUCUAUACCAAAAUUGAAGUAAAUCCAAAGCUCAAGUGGACCAUUACACAGGAAACAGUGUGGAAUAAUGAUUUCCACCGUUGAAACCUUCCUAUGGUCCAAAGUAAUUUUUAUUUGUCAUCCAACCUGUUCAUAAGAUGACAAAGACAUGGAUGAAGAGAAACCACAAACAUCAGCUUGAUCCAAAACUUCUUUGGCCUCCAAAAAAUUUUCAAUGGUAGAGGUUCAAUCAAAAUGUUUCCUGUGGUGUGGUCCAGUUGAGAUUUUAAUUUGCUUCAUUUUUGGGAUCAAGCCAUAAAAUUAUCUUUUAACAUGGAUUAGCGGAGUGGAUAAAAUAAAUAAAUAACAGUGGACCCCACACAGUUUACUCAGUACGCUAGGGGUACUGAGUUACUCAGUACGCAAUCCGCUUCCGUAGUACACGUUGUACAAACAGUUCAAAGGAGAUCAGAGUUACAUGGCCCCACCAAUAAUGUAUUUAUUAUAUCCACACCGGUCAUCCAUUUGGAGAGAUCAUUUUAGAUCACGAACCCAAAAAUGAGUGACAUCCAAACCUUAAUUGGACCACACCACAAAUAGCAGUGAGGACAAUGAUUCUCACCGUUAUAACAUUCGUAGGGUCCACCAUAACGUUUUUUUUCCAUCCAAUCUGUUCAUGAGGUCACAAAGACCUUGAUGAAUAGGAAAAACAAAUAUCAUACGAUCCAAAACUUUUGCGACCCUAAAAGGGUUUCAAUGGUGGACGUUCAAUAUCCCGCUGCUUUUUUCCAGUGUGGUCCACUUGAUCUUUGGAUCUGUCUUAUUUUUCGGAUAAAGCCUUACAAGGAGCUCGCCAAAUGGACGAACAGUUUGGAUAUAAUAUAUACCUCAUGAUGGGACCCACAUAACUUGGUGACGUCAACACGUCGAUGACGUGCGAUGCACCAGCCCGUCCGCUUCUUCUGCAUAAGGGCUCGGGGCCCCUUUUUUUCGAAGCAGAGAGGGUUCCGGCGUUGGAACCCUAAAAUCUCUCCCAAAUGCCGAUUAUUUCAACGAUUUCAGCGGAUUUCGCGGCCAAAUCUCUCCAAAUCAGAGGCUUCGAUUCAAAUGGCCCAUCAAACACAGCUUCCGAUCAGGCGAUCUUCUUUACAGGUGCGAUAUCGACGAUAAUAUCGGCCGAUAUCUGAAGUUUUGGAUUUUCGGUAUCUUCCGGGGGUUAUCGGAGGAGUUUCGUCUCGCUAGGGCCCGAUACCGAUAAUAUCGGCCGAUAUAUCGGCCGAUAGUAUCGAUAUUUCGAACACUGGUUGCAAUUAUG